GACGAACGCAGGCGGCGUGCUUCACACCGCAAGUCGAACGGAAAGGCCCGCCACCUUGGUGGUGGGUACUCGAGUGGCGAACGGGUGAGUAACACGUGGGUGAUCUGCCCCGCACUGUGGGAUAAGCCUGGGAAACUGGGUCUAAUACCACAUACGACAAUGGCGUAGGGGUCAUGGUGGAAAGCUUUAUUGCGGUGUGGGAUGAGCCCGCGGCCUAUCAGCUUGUUGGUGGGGUAAUGGCCUACCAAGGCGGCGACGGGUAGCCAGCCUGAGAGGGUGGACGGCCACAUUGGGACUGAGACACGGCCCAGACUCCUACGGGAGGCAGCAGUGGGGAAUAUUGCACAAUGGGCGCAAGCCUGAUGCAGCGACGCCGCGUGGGGGAUGACGGCCUUCGGGUUGUAAACUCCUUUCGCCCGGGACGAAGCCCACCUGGUGGGUGACGGUACCGUGGAGAAGAAGCACCGGCUAACUACGUGCCAGCAGCCGCGGUAAUACGUAGGGUGCAAGCGUUGUCCGGAUUUACUGGGCGUAAAGAGCUCGUAGGUGGUGUGUCGCGUCGUCUGUGAAAUUCCGGGGCUUAACUCCGGGCGUGCAGGCGAUACGGGCACGACUAGAGUGCUGUAGGGGUAACUGGAAUUCCUGGUGUAGCGGUGAAAUGCGCAGAUAUCAGGAGGAACACCGAUGGCGAAGGCAGGUUACUGGGCAGUUACUGACGCUGAGGAGCGAAAGCAUGGGGAGCGAACAGG
rnacentral:rRNA from 1 species